UACGAAGGGGGCUAGCGUUGCUCGGAAUCACUGGGCGUAAAGCGCACGUAGGCGGAUCUUUAAGUCAGGGGUGAAAUCCCAAGGCUCAACCUUGGAACUGCCUUUGAUACUGGGGAUCUCGAGUCCGGAAGAGGUUGGUGGAACUCCGAGUGUAGAGGUGAAAUUCGUAGAUAUUCGGAAGAACACCAGUGGCGAAGGCGACUCACUGGCCCGAUACUGACGCUGAGGCGCGAAAGCGUGGGGAGCAAACAGG
rnacentral:rRNA from 1 species